rnacentral:rRNA from 1 species
UACGUAGGGGGCAAGCGUUGUCCGGAAUCAUUGGGCGUAAAGAGCGUGUAGGCGGCCCGGUCAGUCCGCCGUGAAAGUCCAGGGCUCAACCCUGGAAUGCCGGUGGAUACUGCCGGGCUGGAGUCCGGAAGAGGCGAGUGGAAUUCCUGGUGUAGCGGUGAAAUGCGCAGAUAUCAGGAGGAACACCAAUGGCGAAGGCAGCUCGCUGGGACGGUACUGACGCUGAGACGCGAAAGCGUGGGGAGCAAACAGG